AACGAACGCUGGCGGCAUGCCUAACACAUGCAAGUCGAACGAGACCUUCGGGUCUAGUGUCGCACGGGUGCGUAACGCGUGGGAACCUGCCCUUAGGUUCGGAAUAACUCCCCGAAAGGGGUGCUAAUACCGGAUAAUGUCUUCGGACCAAAGAUUUAUUGCCUUUUGUUGGGCCCGCGUUGGAUUAGCUAGUUGGUAGGGUAAAAGCCUACCAAGGCGACGAUCCAUGGCUGGUCUGAGAGGAUGAUCAGCCACACUGGGACUGAGACACGGCCCAGACUCCUACGGGAAGCAGCAGUGGGGAAUAUUGGACAAUGGGCGAAAGCCUGAUCCAGCAAUGCCGCGUGAGUGAUGAAGGCCUUAGGGUUGUAAAGCUCUUUUACCCGGGAUGAUAAUGACAGUACCGGGAGAAUAAGCUCCGGCUAACUCCGUG
rnacentral:rRNA from 1 species